rnacentral:rRNA from 1 species
GACGAACGCUGGCGGCGUGCCUAAUACAUGCAAGUUGAGCGCUGAAGGUUGGUACUUGUACCAACUGGAUGAGCAGCGAACGGGUGAGUAACGCGUGGGGAAUCUGCCUUUGAGCGGGGGACAACAUUUGGAAACGAAUGCUAAUACCGCAUAAAAACUUUAAACACAAGUUUUAAGUUUGAAAGAUGCAAUUGCAUCACUCAAAGAUGAUCCCGCGUUGUAUUAGCUAAUUGGUGAGGUAAAGGCUCACCAAGGCGAUGAUACAUAGCCGACCUGAGAGGGUGAUCGGCCACAUUGGGACUGAGACACGGCCCAAACUCCUACGGGAGGCAGCAGUAGGGAAUCUUCGGCAAUGGACGAAAGUCUGACCGAGCAACGCCGCGUGAGUGAAGAAGGUUUUCAGAUCGUAAAACUCUGUUGGUAGAGAAGAACGUUGGUGAGAGUGGAAAGCUCAUCAAGUGACGGUAACUACCCAGAAAGGGACGGCUAACUACGUG